GAAAAGUCCUUUUUUUUUAAAUGCCAGCCUUAUCUUAAUUGAACCAAGAACAGAAUAUGUUUUGUUUCUUGUUCCAUAUCUCCAUCGAGAAUAGGCAAUGAAGAAAAAAAACAAAAAAGAGAGGCCCUAGGAUUGAGAGUCGGUGGCCUGGGACAGGAGAUGCCGCUCUGGCCUCAGCCCAAGCCCCUGACCUGGCCUUGGGGCCGUGGGCAGGGGCCAGUCCUGCCUGAUCACAUUCACAGCAUCAUGUUCCGAUGUGGAAGUUUUCGUCAGAGAGUGCCCUGGGCUUCGUUCGGACCACCUGACUCCUAGGAUGUCCCCCAGACCAAGGACACUGGACCCCCGGAGGCGGAACCCAGGCAGCAGGUUGUGUUCCCGCUCACCCAGGUGCUUCCAGUGACCUAGAACCGCACCGAACUGGAGGCAGCUGCUGACAGGGAACUGUGACCUCAGCCUAGAAAUAGAGUCUGCCCUUUUGAAUUCUGUGUCCUGAUUUCAUUCACGUUCCCCAUCUGUUGUCUCUCGUUGCGACAGGAGUCCUAGUGAGUCAAUGACUGUCCUCCAGAGAGCAGGACCGUGACUGUGAGAGGGGAAAGUCCUGACUCCUUCAUUCCCACAGCACCACCUCGUCUCACCUGCUCAACCCACCCAACAUUCUCACCUUCUGGCUGGCACCUCCCCCUCCAGACGCCCUUAGCUGGAGGAGUCCCGGGCUCUGCCUGGGCCCUAGCAGUCUCCCCUCCCUCUCUCCCUUGAUGGCUUUCAUUCUCACAGUGUUCACAUCCAUCCGUUGUCACUCCCUGACACGUACCUGCAGAGCCACGUAGUCACCUCCUGGAGAAGCUCUAGAGGACCCUCCCACCCAUCCACUCACUGUGUGGCACAGCUGCAUGUCCUGCCUCGUAAACAGGCUGUGGGGGUCUCCGCCCAGCCCACCAAACUGGGCGCAUAGACACCUAGGGCUGGCCCAGCUGUGGCACCUGACCAGCUCUGGGAGGCCUGAGAGGAGCAGUGGGCAGGAAAGACUUCUCCAGGAGGAGGAGGAGGUGCUGACGUCGAUUUCAGAGGCCAAGAAGGUGCCAGACCUUGAUGGGUGAAAGACAGGGUCAUGUACAGGGCGUUGCAGAAGCUCCAUUUGGUUAGAGCGAGGAGUCGGAACGCAGGAGUAGGUUGGAGAGGGAGAGGUGAUCUGGUCGUGGGCUGCCUCCACGCCCCACCGGGAUUUGCACUUUGAAGGUAGAUAGUUGAGAGCGCAUGAGGGGUUCCAUGAGGAGAUGAGGCUUUGUGUGUGGUUGUGACCAGGUAGAGGGCGGGCUGAAGGCCUCCUGGUGGGCAUUUACGAGAGCCACAGCCUGGUGCUUCUGUGGUGGUCCACACUCUGGUCAUCUCCAGCUGACCCCCAAGGCUCCUGGACCCCAGCUGGUAAACACAGCCGGUCCCAUCCCACUGUAACUGGUGGUCAGUUGGUUGACAGCAGGGGUUCUCCAGCCGUUUCUAAGCCUCAGUUCAGUACGUGCCUUGGGACUUGCGCUGGCCUGUAUCCGAUGUCAGCUGUCUCCAGUGAAACACGUGUUCUGCCUCAUGUUUAUAGAAAAAUCCAAACUUCUUGUCUUUGCUGUUGAAACAUCUUCACUUCAGCACCUGGCUCACCUGGUUUCAUAGCGUCUCCCUCAGCCUCCUUCCCGUCUGGUCUCGGGGCCUUCCGGCUUUCCCUGACUCCCCUGUGGAAACAAGCCCUAGAGUGUCCACUCCAUAUCCUCACUCUUGCAGCCUCCUCCGCUGGAAAUGACCUUUCAUAUCAACGUCAACUCUCUUCCAUUUCUCUUCCACUUGGAGUCAAUCCAAGUGGAGUGGCUGAGAGUAGGACUUCUAAAGCCCAACCUCCUGCUUAUUGGUUUGCAUAAUUUCCUUAACCUCUUUGUGCUUCAGUUUUCUCUUUUCUAAUAAUGGAGAAAUAAUAGUACCCAUCUCAUAGAGUGGUGGUGGAAAUUACAACACUCCUAGAAUAGUGCUUAACACAUAGGGAGCCAUUGAUGAAUGUCAGCUCUUGAGUAAUUAUUGUUUUUCCCUAUAACACCUCUUUUACUUUGAUUUAUCCUGCAAUUAUU
rnacentral:lncRNA from 1 species